rnacentral:rRNA from 1 species
UACGAAGGAUGCAAGCGUUAUCCGGAUUUAUUGGGUUUAAAGGGUGCGUAGGCGGACUUAUAAGUCAGUGGUGAAAUCUCGUUGCUUAACAACGAACGUGCCAUUGAUACUGUAGGUCUUGAGUACAGAUGCCGUUGGCGGAAUGUGUCAUGUAGCGGUGAAAUGCAUAGAUAUGACACAGAACACCGAUUGCGAAGGCAGCUGACGAAACUGUAACUGACGCUGAGGAGCGAAAGUGUGGGGAGCGAACAGG